UUAUGUGGCUCACUUUGGGCUCUCUAUGUUCACAGGUCUGGCCUUGCAUUAGCCCAACAUAUGUGAUCCAUCUCCAACUUCAGCCACUUCGUACACUUGGGGACUUGGAGGUUCACAUGUCCCCCAAAUUCUGAUGGCCCAUCUCCAGAACACUAAGCCAUGUGACAGCAGGCAGCAAGGUGCAGAGGCAGCGCAAGAAUUCCUCGCUCUACCUGUUCGGUGUGUCAUGUUCUUGCUACUGUCACAGAUGACCACGAGGAAGGACAGUCCUCCUGUGACAGUGAGCCAAAGUGCCAAGGCAGAGGCCCCACUCCUUCUGCUUCCAGGUCCUCCUCUGGAAGAAUUAAGUGACUGUGGUGGUGGUGAGGUGACUGGCCAGAGGAGGAGUUAA
rnacentral:lncRNA from 1 species